GACGAACGCUGGCGGCGUGCCUAACACAUGCAAGUCGAGCGAGUGAAUCUCCUUCGGGAGUGAAGCUAGCGGCGGACGGGUGAGUAACACGUGGGCAACCUGCCUCAUAGAGGGGAAUAGCCUUCCGAAAGGAAGAUUAAUACCGCAUAAGAUUGUAGCUUCACAUGAAGUAGCAAUUAAAGGAGCAAUCCGCUAUGAGAUGGGCCCGCGGCGCAUUAGCUAGUUGGUGAGGUAACGGCUCACCAAGGCGACGAUGCGUAGCCGACCUGAGAGGGUGAUCGGCCACAUUGGGACUGAGACACGGCCCAGACUCCUACGGGAGGCAGCAGUGGGGAAUAUUGCACAAUGGGGGAAACCCUGAUGCAGCAACGCCGCGUGAGUGAUGACGGCCUUCGGGUUGUAAAGCUCUGUCUUCAGGGACGAUAAUGACGGUACCUGAGGAGGAAGCCACGGCUAACUACGUGCCAGCCGCCGCAGUAAAAC
rnacentral:rRNA from 1 species